rnacentral:rRNA from 1 species
GAUGAACGCUGGCGGCAUGCCUAACACAUGCAAGUCGGACGGGAAGAGGUGUUUCUUGCGGCGGUCGGGUGAGCAACGCGUAAGAACCUGACAUGGGGAGGGCAAAAAUAGCUGGAAACGGUAGCUAAUAGACCAUAGGCCGAGGAGCAAAAGGAGGAAUCCGCCCAAGGGGUGGCUAGCGUAUGAUUAGUUAGUUGGCGGGGCAAUGGCUGACCAGGGCGCAGGACAGUAGCUGGUCCGAGAGGAUGAUCCGCCACACUGGUACGGAGGCCCGGCGCAGGCACCUUCGGGAGACAGCCGAAAGCCUGAUGCAGCAAUGGGGGGUGACUUGACGAGGCAAUGCCACGGUAAAGCAGAGUGACCACGGGUCAUGAACUGCUUUUCUCGGAGAAGAAAAAAUGACGGUACCUGAUGAAUAAGCAUCGGCUAACUCCGUG